rnacentral:rRNA from 1 species
AUUGAACGCUGGCGGCAUGCUUUACACAUGCAAGUCGAACGGCAGCGCGGGCUUCGGCCUGGCGGCGAGUGGCGAACGGGUGAGUAAUACAUCGGAACGUGCCCAGUAGUGGGGGAUAGCUCGGCGAAAGCCGGAUUAAUACCGCAUACGACCUGAGGGUGAAAGCGGGGGAUCUUCGGACCUCGCGCUAUUGGAGCGGCCGAUGGCAGAUUAGCUAGUUGGUGGGGUAAAGGCCUACCAAGGCGACGAUCUGUAGCUGGUCUGAGAGGACGACCAGCCACAAUGGGACUGAGACACGGCCCAGACUCCUACGGGAGGCAGCAGUGGGGAAUUUUGGACAAUGGGCGAAAGCCUGAUCCAGCAAUGCCGCGUGUGUGAUGAAGGCCUUCGGGUUGUAAAGCACUUUUGGCGGGAACGAAAAGGACUGUGCCAAUACCACGGUUCGAUGACGGUACCCGCAGAAUAAGCACCGGCUAACUACGUG